GUCAAAGUUUGAGGUGGAGCGAGCUGGGUCAUUCAGUCAAGUAUUGAAAGACCACACAACAUCUACCGAAGACGGUUACUACCUUCUCUACAGGAGUCCCGGAAUCGAAGGUAACCGUACGUCGCUAGAACUCCGUGAGCCAGGGCGCUACAUAGCCUCAUGCGUAACUCUGUGGUACUUCCUGCCGGCUACAUUGAACGGAGUCAGCUUGCUGCUUCACUCCAAAAUCGUCACUGGGGACGAAAACUCCUGGAACCAGGGAAAAUUUUUCUUUACCCGAGCAAGGCAACCUUCCAUUGAGGCAAUCUCCGGUAGUAACGCCGACGGAUUUCUUGCAAUCGACGACGUGCUCAUCGACACGACAGGCUGCGAG